UAGGAUAAUAGUUAAAUAUAACAUUUAAUUUGCACUUAAAAAGUAUUGAUUAAUCAAUUUAUCUUAA
rnacentral:tRNA from 1 species